rnacentral:lncRNA from 7 species
AGGUUAAGUCAACAUCAGACCAUGUUUAUUUAGUUUUAAUGUAAGUACAGUGACAGAAGUGUCAGCUGGAACAGAUCUCCGGACACCGCUGGUCCUGUGCCCCAUGAGAAGCAGGGCUGUUACCAGUGCUAACUCAGAUCAGCCAUGGAUUUCUCUAGCUCAGUUUUAAAAACCCUCAAGGAUGGGGAGUCCCUGACUGUCCCAGGUGCAGUGCUGCACCACCUUCCUGGAAGAAUCCUCUCCCAGUGUCUACCCUGAACCUCCCAAGCCACCCAUCAUCCACAGCCACAUCAUCUGCCACUAUGGGCACCUGCAGCAGCUCAGCUUCAUGUCUUCCUGCCCAGAUAUACUUGUACUUAUCUUUGGUGUUGCUUCUUGCCAUCCCUUGUCAAACCAACCCCAGAGACUCACUCCUCCUCGUUUCCCUGAAGCCCUUGGACUCAGCAGAACUGUGGGCUGAGAUGGCUGAAGUACAGAGGGCUACAGCCUAGAGAAAGGUGCCAAGUGGAUGUUCCCCAGCAUGGAGGCUCCAGCAUGCGUAGCCCAUCCGUGGUGCUCCCUUGCCCAUAUCCCCUGACUGAGCUCCACAUCCAAACAAGUUUCUGCCACAGAAACCCUGUUUUUAGGGUGCACUAUUUGGUUUUGUUGUAGUUUUAGGUUUUCCCUCCUUAUUCCAUCCUGGACUUAGAACCUCUCCAUGAUCUCUGCUUGUCAACCUGAUUGCAUCAUCCACAGUAGGUUGUCAGCCUGAUUGCAUCAUCCACAGCAGGUUGUUGGCAUGGUUGCAUCAUCCACUGGGAGGAGUGGGAGAAGAGGACGGUCACCUGCAGCAGAUGGCUGCCCUGGCAUUGCCAGUGGUGCUGGCAGGAUCCUCCCUGCAGCGCGGGUGGUUUCCCAGAGGUGUCCUGCAUGAGGGAGAAUGUUGCAAAAAUCCAGGCCUCUGUAUCAAUUCCAUCCCAAUGCAGCUGCUCAAAUGUAAUUGUUGCCAGCUUCACAGAGCACCGUGGAAGGGAAGGAGGUGUUCAGCCUU